CCUCUCUUAGUUUAAUGGUCAGAACAUUGCUGCGUAAAAGCCAAAGGUCCCGGGUUCGAUUCCCGGCGGGGGUA
rnacentral:tRNA from 1 species